AUUUAAGUAGCUUAAGUUAAAGUAUUUCGUUGAAGUUGAAAAGAUAAAUUCAUUUAUUUCUUAAAUA
rnacentral:tRNA from 1 species